GGAUGUGAGGGCAAUCUGGCUGCGACAUCUGUCACCCCAUUGAUCACCAGGGUUGAUUUGGCUGAUCUGGCUGGCUAGGCGGGUGUCGCCUGCCUCCCUCACUGCUCCAUUUGCGCUCAGUCGAAGAGGAGGACCAUCCCCGCUAGAGGAGGACCAGUCUUCAGUCAAGGGUAUACAAGUAGCUGUGCUCCCCUGCUAGAACCUCCAAACCAGCUCUCAAGCAGUGGGUGAUUAUGGCUAUACUAGGAAAACAGCAGCAGGUCUUGUCGCUGUCCUGCAGCGAUGGACUU
ensembl:misc_RNA 7SK 7SK RNA